CUCCGCCGCGUCGGGUUACCUGGCCGCUGUUGGCGAAGUCGUCCGCGGUGAGCUCGUCGUGGAGUUUGACGGCGAGGCCAAAGUCGCACAGAGCGACGUCUCCGUCGUCCUUCACCAGCACGUUGCCGCUCUUCACGUCGCGUAACUCGGGACAUAUCUUACACGCUGGAGAAAGUGGAGAUGAUUGUGGACAGAUGUCCAACCGUCCUUUGUCAACCAUCGUGACCUUCAGGUUUCGGGGAAUUCCACAAGAAUUACGCGGGCCGAAAAGGAUUUGCCAGUCACGGUGGUGAUGAUGAUGCUGAUGAUGGUGGCGGCGGCGGCGAGCCUGUCACACCGCAUGCUGACGCUCAACUGUGCGUAGAACACAGCUGCAUCCAGAUGGGUGCGAGCCCCACCCCCCCCGCGAGGUCUUCCGCGCCGUCCUACU